CUGACAGGUUCAAUGACAACAUUAAGCACAUGAUUUCCCGCUGCCCUUCUUCAAGCUGUGCUGGCGCUACCUGAUGCCAGCCAUGUGCACGGUGACGUUUGUGUUCUCCUUGGUGUGCUGGAUCCCUCUGUCCCCCCCUGUGCACUUUACGCCCUGGCCACCAUCCCCUGCAGCCUAACACAGCGUUUCCACCGGCUGUGUCGUCCUGCCCUCGACUCCAAUUUGGCCAUGGACCACCGGACCACAUCUCUCACCUUUGAACCCUGUCUGGCUCUCCCCGCCGGAAACCCAAGGAGACAAUCUCAGCUGUGAUCUAGGGACGACCACCCUUGGUUUAGCCAAUGAUACGGUCUCAUGGUUUCUGCGCACCAAAUGGACAGAUCGGAAUCGGGGGUCAAGGGAUGUUUUUAUGGAGAUGGGAAGGCCUCUGCCCCUCUUGUGUCCUCACUGGUAAAUGGAGACAGGAUGGUGGUUGAAACUGUGAUGGAAUCCAGCCUGUAUGCUGUUGGGCCUGGGAUACGUCUACUGGGCUUAGUGACGUCCCUGACUAUGUGUAUUUUUGUGAAUGAGGGGGAGGGGGGAAAGAGAGGGAAAGGGAGGGAGAGAUAAAAGAUACU